UUAAAGUGGAUGGUUUAGUCGGUUCUUAAAGGUUAAAGUGGAUGUUUUUAGUCGGGUUCUAAAGGUUAAAAUGGAUUGUUUUAGUCGGUUCUAAAGGUUAAGUGGAUGUUUAGUCGGUUCUAAAGGUAAAGUGGAUGUUUUAGUUGGUUCACUAAAGGUUAAAGUGGAUGUUUUGGUCAGUUCUAAAGGUAAAGUGGAUUGUUUUAGUUGGUUCUAAGGUUUAAAGUGGACGUUUGUAGUCGGUUCUAAAGGUUUAAAGUGGAGUUUUAGUCGGUUUCUAAAGGUUUAAAGUGGAUGUUUUAGUCGGUUCUAAAGGUUAAAGUGGAUGUUUUGGUCGGUUCUGAAAGUUAAAGUGGAUGUUUUAGUCAGUUCUAAAGGUUAAAGUGCAUGUUUUAGUCGGUUCUAAAGGUUAAAGUGGAUGUUUUGUCGGUUCUUAAGGUUAAAGUGGAUGUUUUA